UACAGAGGCCCCAAGCAUUACCCGGAAUUAUUGGGCGUAAAGGGUGCGUAGGUGGUCAUAUUAGUCGUUUGUUAAAAACCGGGGCCCAACCCCGGAGAUGCGGGCGAAACGGUAUGACUUGAGAGCGUGAGAGGUACAUGGAACUCUAAGUGUAGGGGUGAAAUCCGUUGAUAUUUAGGGGAACACCGAAAGCGAAGGCAAUGUACUGGCGCGUUUCUGACACUGAAGCACGAAAGCGUGGGUAGCGAAUGGG
rnacentral:rRNA from 1 species